UCCGAAUUGGUGUAGUGGCUAACAUUUGACGCUCUCAUGGUUUAAACAUCAUUAGAUCCGUCAAGCCCGGGGUUCGAUUCCCCGAUUCGGAG